rnacentral:rRNA from 1 species
AGAGUUUGAUCCUGGCUCAGAUUGAACGCUGGCGGCAGGCCUAACACAUGCAAGUCGAACGGUAACAGGAAGCAGCUUGCUGCUUCGCUGACGAGUGGCGGACGGGUGAGUAAUGUCUGGGAAACUGCCCGAUGGAGGGGGAUAACUACUGGAAACGGUAGCUAAUACCGCAUAACGUCGCAAGACCAAAGAGGGGGACCUUCGGGCCUCUUGCCAUCGGAUGUGCCCAGAUGGGAUUAGCUAGUUGGUGAGGUAACGGCUCACCAAGGCGACGAUCCCUAGCUGGUCUGAGAGGAUGACCAGCCACACUGGAACUGAGACACGGUCCAGACUCCUACGGGAGGCAGCAGUGGGGAAUAUUGCACAAUGGGCGCAAGCCUGAUGCAGCCAUGCCGCGUGUAUGAAGAAGGCCUUCGGGUUGUAAAGUACUUUCAGCGGGGAGGAAGGGGAUGUGGUUAAUAACCGCAUCCAUUGACGUUACCCGCAGAAGAAGCACCGGCUAACUCCGUGCCAGCAGCCGCGGUAAUA